GGUGGGAGAUGACAGAUUAA
rnacentral:snRNA from 1 species